rnacentral:lncRNA from 1 species
GGUGGAGCCCACGGGCCCACGAUCGGGUUCAAGGGUAGAGAUGUGCCGUUGAAGGCCUGGUCAUGACGUCAUAGGCGGGGCUUACUGAUUGUUCAGCUCCCCUGCAAGAUUUGUUUAUCCCAUGGAACCAUGGAAGAACCUUGUUUGUCAGAGAGUGCGGCCAACUUGCUCUGUCAAGGGUAAAUUUGUCAUUUGGAAUGACGAAGAUAUUUUUCAACCUCCCGUGUACUUAUUCUUUCGUCAUUUCUUAUUUGGUUGUACAUGCACACAUUUACGUCGGGUGUGGUGCGAGGCCCUU